AAACCUCGAUAGGAAUCGAACCUGCGCCUUCGAUAUAAUAGUCGACGUACUAUAUACUAUACUACGAGGUU